rnacentral:sRNA from 1 species
CAACGAUGGACAGUCGCUUGAUGCCAA